GAUGAAGAACGUAGCGAAAUGCGAUAAGUAAUGCGAAUUGCAGAAUUCAGUGAAUCAUCGAAUCUUUGAACGCACAUUGCGCCCUUUGGUAUUCCUUAGGGCAUGCCUGUUCGAGCGUCAUUUGAAACCUCAAGCUCAGCUUGGUGUUGGGUGUCUGUCCCCGCCUCACCGCGGGGACUCGCCUCAAAAUCAUUGGCGGCCGGUACGUUGGCUUCGAGCGCAGCAGAAACGCGAACUCGAGGCCCGGCGGAUCGGCGACCAGAAGUCACUUCUUCACAGUUUGACCUCGGAUCAGGUAGGGAUACCCGCUGAACUUAAGCAUAUCAAUAAGCGGAGGA
rnacentral:misc_RNA from 1 species